rnacentral:lncRNA from 1 species
AGAUUAACAAUGUUGUGGGAUUAAGUUUUGAAAUUGACUGUGGUAACUCCGUAAAUUAUUACUCGAGGAAGAAAUGAAGAUUGCUCCUCCCAUAAAAUCUGUUCUUUACCAGGUGCAGUUUAUGCAACGAAUGUUGUAAGUUUGUAGAGUAAGAUAUCGAACACUUGUAUUUUAUUCACACCGGCUUCUGCCGUAUAUAUACAUAACAGAGGAACCUCUAAAACCCCUUACAAAUAGGAGAUAGAGACACAAC